UACGAAGGGGGCUAGCGUUGUUCGGAAUUACUGGGCGUAAAGCGCACGUAGGCGGCUUUUUAAGUCAGGGGUGAAAUCCUGGAGCUCAACUCCAGAACUGCCUUUGAUACUGGGAAGCUUGAGUCCGGAAGAGGUGAGUGGAACUCCGAGUGUAGAGGUGAAAUUCGUAGAUAUUCGGAAGAACACCAGUGGCGAAGGCGGCUCACUGGUCCGGUACUGACGCUGAGGUGCGAAAGCGUGGGGAGCAAACAGG
rnacentral:rRNA from 1 species